rnacentral:tRNA from 1 species
CCUUCGAUAGCUCAGUUGGUAGAGCGGUGGACUGUAGAUGCCAAGUUACUCAGGAAUCCUGAGUAAUAAGUAAAUAGUAAUCCAUAGGUCGCUGGUUCAAAUCCGGCUCGAAGGA